ACGAGGGGGGCAAGCGUUGUUCGGAAUUAUUGGGCGUAAAGGGCGCGUAAGCGGUGCGGUAAGUCACCUGUGAAAACUCUGGGCUCAACUCAGAGCCUGCAGGCGAAACUGCCGUGCUUGAGUGUGGGAGAGGUGCGUGGAAUUCCCGGUGUAGCGGUGAAAUGCGUAGAUAUCUGGAGGAACACCGGUGGCGAAGGCGGCAUCCUGGACCGGUAUUGACACUGAGGCGCGAAAGCCAGGGGAGCAAACGGG
rnacentral:rRNA from 1 species